CAAACAAACAAAAAAUUAUUAAAAGAGAUAAAACAUAAUUGAUUCAUUGUCUUUUCACAGUGGAAAAUAGUAAAAAUCACAAAGGACAGUCAAGAGCAACACAGCACACUUGUUCCACAGGAAUUUAUAAACAGCAGAAGACGAUGCUAUGUUCAUCCAGUAAAUCGCAUGGUGAAUAAUGUAACAGUUGUAGGACUGGAGAAGGGCACCAAACCUGACCUGAUGGCAGUGAGAAACUGACGAUGUGACCCUGACUGGAGGAGGAGGCAGGUGAAGCUCAAGUCAGCGAACUCCAGUUAUAGGAUUCAAAGCAGAAUUCCUCCUUCUUUCCCUACUACUGUGUGUUGAGGAUAACCCACAGCAUCUUCUACAUGCUAAGCACAUGCUGUUCCAUGGAGCUACAUCCACUGUGAAUAAAAAUUCCUGCAAAGAAGCUUUGUCAGCUCUGAAUGAAAAACUCCAGAAGUCUGUGCCUGGUGGACUGAUGGGCCAGAAGAAGUCUGUGUCUGAUGGACUGAUGGGCCAAUUGGAAUUUCAGUACUGUGAAGAGAUGUGCAUUUUCUAGGUUUAGAGGCAAAUAACCUUAUUUUGGGAUAAUCUUAGCUUUCCAGAACCACUUCUAUUCCUUGCUCCACUCUUUAUUGGCACUAAAAUCUUGUGACAGCAGAUAAAAUCCUUCCAGAAUCCAUUGACCGAUCAUCAAGCUGCAUGUUAGGACUAUUUAAUACCUCCCCUUCGUCUCACUGUACCUACCAAUGUAUUUUAAAUUUACCUUAAUUUAUGACUCUCUUUG